rnacentral:rRNA from 1 species
UACAGGGGAUGCAAGUGUUAUCCGGAAUCAUUGGGCGUAAAGCGUCUGUAGGUGGACACAAAAGUCUUUUGUUAAAGCUUUGGGCUUAACCUGAAAUGUGCAAAGGAAACUGUGUGUCUAGAGUAUGAUAGGGGUAGAGGGAAUUUCCAGUGGAGCGGUGAAAUGCGUAGAGAUUGGAAGGAACACCUAUGGCGAAGGCACUCUACUGGGUCAUUACUGACAUUGAGAGACGAAAGCUAGGGGAGCAAACGGG